GUAGGUGGCAAGCGUUGUCCGGAAUUAUUGGGGCGUAAAGCGCGCGCAGGCGGUUCUUUAAGUCUGAUGUGAAAGCCCACGGGCUCAACCGUGGAGGGUCAUUGGAAACUGGAGAACUUGAGUACAGAAGAGGAAAGCGGAAUUCCACGUGUAGCGGUGAAAUGCGUAGAGAUGUGGAGGAACACCAGUGGCGAAGGCGGCUUUCUGGUCUGUAACUGACGCUGAGGCGCGAAAGCGUGGGGAGCAAACAGGAUUAGAUACCCUGGUAGUCCACGCCGUAAACGAUGAGUGCUAAGUGUUAGGGGGUUUCCGGCCCCUUAGUGCUGCAGCUAACGCAUUAAGCACUCCGCCUGGGGAGUACGGCCGCAAGGCUG
rnacentral:rRNA from 1 species